UACGGGGGGGGCAAGCGUUGUUCGGAAUUACUGGGCGUAAAGGGCUCGUAGGUGGCCAACUAAGUCAGACGUGAAAUCCCUCGGCUUAACCGGGGAACUGCGUCUGAUACUGGAUGGCUUGAGUUUGGGAGAGGGACGCGGAGUUCCAGGUGUAGCGGUGAAAUGCGUAGAUAUCAAGAGGAACACCUGAGGUGAAGACGGGUUGCUGGGCCGACACUGACGCUGAUGCGCGAAAGCCAGGGGAGCAAACGGG
rnacentral:rRNA from 1 species